GCAGCAUCAUGAGGUGUAGCAUGGCGGUGGCAGCAUCAUGAGGUGUAGCAUGGUGGAGGCAGCAUCAUGAGGUGUAGCAUGGUGCUGGUAGCAUCAUGAGGUGAAGCAUGGUGGUGGAACCAUCAUGAGGUGAAGCAUGGAGGUGACAGCAUGAUGAAGUGAAGCAUGGUGGUGGCAGCAUCAUGAUGUGAAGCAUGGUGGUGACAGCAUCAUGAGGUGAAGCAUGGUGGUGGCAGCAUCAUGAGGUGUAGCAUGGUGGUGACAGCAUGAUGAAGUGAAGCAUGGUGGUGGCAGCAUCAUGAGGUGUAGCAUGGUGGUGACAGCAUGAUGAAGUGAAGCAUGGAGGUGGCAGCAUCAUGAGGUGAAGCAUGGAGGUGGCAGCAUGAUGAGGUGAAGCAUGGUGGUGGCAGCAUCAUGAGGUGAAGCAUGGUGGUGGCAGCAUCAUGAGGUGUAGCAUGGUGGUGACAGCAUGAUGAAGUGAAGCAUGGAGGUGGCAGCAUCAUGAGGUGUAGCAUGGUGGUGACAGCAUGAUGAAGUGAAGCAUGGUGGUGGCAGCAUCAUGAGGUGUAGCAUGGUGGUGACAGCAUGAUGAAGUGAAGCAUGGAGGUGGCAGCAUCAUGAGGUGAAGCAUGGAGGUGGCAGCAUGAUGAGGUGAAGCAUGGUGGUGGCAGCAUCAUGAGGUGUAGCAUGGUGGAGGCAGCAUCAUGAUAUGAAGCAUGGUGGAGGCAGCAUCAUGAUAUGAAGCAUGGUGGUGGCAGCAUCAUAAUUAGAGGAUGCUUCUCAGCAGCAGGUCCUGGAGUGCUUGUAAAGGUUGGGAAAAGAUUUGUUUUGUGGUAGGACGAUGUGCUGAAGCACACAGCCGAAUGGUUCAAAGGCAACAAGGGAAGGUACUGGAGCGGCCGAGCUAUUGUGGCUGGAUUUGAAAUGUUUACUGUCAACCCCUGUGCAAUAUGACAGAGUUUUGAAUAGUUUUGCAAAGAAGAACGGGAUAAAAUUGCAAUGUGAAAAAAUGUGAACAGCUGAUUCAGACCUUUCCACACACAGUCAAAGCUGUAAUUCUGACUUGAAAGGGCUGGAUAUACUUAUUUUAUAUUAUAUAGUUGACAUUUUUUGAUACUACUUGGUAGGAGUGUG